rnacentral:rRNA from 1 species
AACGAGCGCAACCCUUAUCCUUUGUUGCCAGCGGUCCGGCCGGGAACUCAAAGGAGACUGCCAGUGAUAAACUGGAGGAAGGUGGGGAUGACGUCAAGUCAUCAUGGCCCUUACGACCAGGGCUACACACGUGCUACAAUGGCGCAUACAAAGAGAAGCGACCUCGCGAGAGCAAGCGGACCUCAUAAAGUGCGUCGUAGUCCGGAUUGGAGUCUGCAACUCGACUCCAUGAAGUCGGAAUCGCUAGUAAUCGUGGAUCAGAAUGCCACGGUGAAUACGUUCCCGGGCCUUGUACACACCGCCCGUCACACCAUGGGAGUGGGUUGCAAAAGAAGUAGGUAGCUUAACCUUCGGGAGGGCGCUUACCACUUUGUGAUUCAUGACUGGGGUGAAGUCGUAACAAGGUAACCGUAGGGGAACCUGC